rnacentral:lncRNA from 10 species
CAGGGACACACUUGAGGAGGCAGUCUGUCCAUUCUCAGAGCUCAAACUCCAUGCUAGGAGAACCACUGCUCUCUUCAGAGCUGUCAGAUAGGGACAUUUAAGUCUGCAGAAGUUUCUGCUGCCUUUUGUUCAGCUAUGCCCUGCCCCCAGAGGUGGAGUCUACAGAGUCAGGCAGGCCUCCUUGAGCUGUGGUGGGCUCCACCCAGUUCGAGCUUCCCAGCCGCUUUGUUUACCUACUCAAGCUUCAGCAAUGGCGGACGCCCCUUCCCCAGCCAGGCUGCUGCCUCGCAGUUUGAUCUUGGACUGCUGCACUAGUAGUGAGCAAGGCUCUGUGGGCGUGGGACCCGCUGAGCCAGGCGCGGGGCAUAAUCUCCUGGUGUGCCAUUUGCUAAGACCGUUGGAAAAGUGUAGUGUUAGGGCGGGAGUGUCCCAAUUUUCCAGGUACAGUCUGUCAUGGCUUCCCUUGGCUAGGAAAGGGAAAUCUCCCGACUCCUUGUGCUUUCCGGGUGAGGUGACGCCCUGCCCUGCUUUGGCUCAUGCUCCAUGGGCUGUACCUACUGUCCAACAAGUCCCAGUGAGAUGAACCAGGUACCUGAAUUGGAAAUGCAGAAAUCACCUGUCUUCUGUGUCAAUCACGCUGGGAGCUGCAUACUGGAGCUGUUCCUAUCUGGCCAUCUUGGAAUGGACUUCCUCUGGCAAGAGGAGUCCUCAGAAUCCUUCUCAACUCAGCAUUUAAUAAGAAUGAGAAUUGAAGAAGGGUGACCUUCAUGACACUCAUUAGUACACAAGGUCAGCCUCCUCUAUCAGAAUAUGAGCUCAUCAGCUAGGAUAUUGGCCUUGAUCAUCCUGGUGUCCUCUGCAAGGAGACUUGUGUCUCCCGGCCAGGGGGAUGAGACAACAGCCACCUUAACAGGGCUGGAUGGUUGGCCAGGCUGCUGAUUGCACAGUGAGUGUGGGGACGACGAGAUUCACCAGGAAGCGGUUGGGACUGCUCCAGGCCUGCUUCUCUUUAUGCCCAUGGCUGGUGGCUUCAUUCUGAGCUCCUGGGAGGGGACCAGGUUCAUUCCCUCCUAUCUACGUACCUCUGUCCUUGCUACCUGGCCCACAGGGAGGCAGCAGUCCCAGCUCCUUACCUGUUGCUGCUGCUGCAGACACCACCUAUGGCUCUGAGAGUGCUCAGGAAAACUGGUGGGGCCAUGAGUUAGUUUGAGAGGCACAUAGCAGUGCUCCUAAUUAGAAGUACUCCAACUGACUCCCACACUGUCCUCAAAAUCAUCCUUCAACAAACGAGACUCCCCUGUUUCUCACUGACUAAGGUUCAAGCUCCUUAGCACAGCCGAUGAGGGCCGGCACCAUGUUAGCCCUGCGAUUUUUUCAGCCAGACUUGGAUUUCUUAUGUGCCUUGUGUCCCCAACUCUCCAGUCCUGCCAAAUGUCUCCUGGUCCUUUGAACAUCUUGCUAUGCUUUUUCAGAUGCUGAGCCCAGUGCCUGGGAUCACCUUCUCCCUCUUGUCUCACAGAUAAGUCCUGCCCAUUUUUGAAGACUGAUAUGGUUUGACUGUGUUCUCAGCCAAAUCUCAUCUUGGAUUGCUCCCAUAAUUCCCAUAUGUUGUGGGAGGGACCCAGUGGGAGAUAAUUGAAUCACGGGGGCAGUUUCCCCCAUACUGUUCUCGUGGUAGUGAAUAAGUCUCAUGAGAUCUGAUGGUUUUAAAAGGGGAAACCCCUUUCACUUGGCUUGCUUUCUCUCUUGUUUGCCACCAUGUGAGACAUGUCUUUUGACUUCCACCAUGAUUGUGAGGCCUCCCCAGCCACGUGGAAUGGUGAGUCCAUUAAACCUUUUUAUCUUUAUAAAUUACCUAGUC